AGUGAACGCUGGCGGUAGGCCUAACACAUGCAAGUCGAACGGCAGCACAGUAAGAGCUUGCUCUUACGGGUGACGAGUGGCGGACGGGUGAGGAAUACAUCGGAAUCUACUUUUUCGUGGGGGAUAACGUAGGGAAACUUACGCUAAUACCGCAUACGACCUACGGGUGAAAGCAGGGGAUCUUCGGACCUUGCGCGAUUGAAUGAGCCGAUGUCGGAUUAGCUAGUUGGCGGGGUAAAGGCCCACCAAGGCGACGAUCCGUAGCUGGUCUGAGAGGAUGAUCAGCCACACUGGAACUGAGACACGGUCCAGACUCCUACGGGAGGCAGCAGUGGGGAAUAUUGGACAAAGGGGGCAAGCCUGAUCCAGCCAUACCGCGUGGGUGAAGAAGGCCUUCGGGUUGUAAAGCCCUUUUGUUGGGAAAGAAAAGCAGCAGGUUAAUACCCCGCUGUUCUGACGGUACCCAAAGAAUAAGCACCGGCUAACUUCGUG
rnacentral:rRNA from 1 species